UAGCUAGUUGGUAGGGUAAGGGCCCACCAAGGCGACGAUCGGUAGCUGGUCUGAGAGGAUGGCCAGCCACACUGGAACUGAGACACGGUCCAGACUCCUACGGGAGGCAGCAGUGGGGAAUAUCGGACAAUGGGGGCAACCCUGAUCCAGCAAUGCCGCGUGUGUGAAGAAGGCCUGAGGGUUGUAAAGCACUUUCAGUGGGGAGGAGAGGACUUAGGUUAAGAGCUAGAGUUCUGGACGUUACCCACAGAAGAAGCACCGGCUAACUCCGUGCCAGCAGCCGCGGUAAUACGGAGGGUGCGAGCGUUAAUCGGAAUUACUGGGCGUAAAGGGUGCGUAGGUGGUUAGAUAGGUUAUCUGUGAAAUCCCUGGGCUCAACCUGGGCAGGUCAGAUGAUACUGUUUAACUCGAGUAUGGGAGAGGGUAGUGGAAUUUCCGGUGUAGCGGUGAAAUGCGUAGAGAUCGGAAGGAACACCAGUGGCGAAGGCGGCUACCUGGCCUAAUACUGACACUGAGGCACGAAAGCGUGGGGAGCAAACAGGAUUAGAUACCCUGGUAGUCCACGCUGUAAACGAUGUCAACUAGCUGUUGGUUAUAUAAAAAUAAUUAAUGGCGC
rnacentral:rRNA from 1 species